GAUGAACGCUGGCGGCGUUCCUAAUACAUGCAAGUCGAGCGAAUGGAUUAAGAGCUUGCUCUUAUGAAGUUAGCGGCGGACGGGUGAGUAACACGUGGGUAACCUGCCCAUAAGACUGGGAUAACUCCGGGAAACCGGGGCUAAUACCGGAUAACAUUUUGAACCGCAUGGUUCGAAAUUGAAAGGCGGCUUCGGCUGUCACUUAUGGAUGGACCCGCGUCGCAUUAGCUAGUUGUGAGGUAACGGCUCACCAAGGCAACGAUGCGUAGCCGACGGGAGAGGGUGAGCGGCCACACUGGGGCUGAGACACGGCCCAGACUCCUACGGGAGGCAGCAGUAGGGAAUCUUCCGCAAUGGACGAAAGUCUGACGGAGCAACGCCGCGUGAGUGAUGAAGGCUUUCGGGUCGUAAAACUCUGUUGUUAGGGAAGAACAAGUGCUAGUUGAAUAAGCUGGCACCUUGACGGUACCUAACCAGAAAGCCACGGCUAACUACGUGCCAGCCGCCGCAGUAA
rnacentral:rRNA from 1 species